GAUGAACGCUGGCGGCGUGCCUAAUACAUGCAAGUCGAGCGAACAGACGAGGAGCUUGCGCCCCUGACGUUAGCGGCGGACGGGUGAGUAACACGUGGAUAACCUACCUAUAAGACUGGGAUAACUUCGGGAAACCGGAGCUAAUACCGGAUAAUAUAUUGAACCGCAUGGUUCAAUAGUGAAAGACGGUUUUGCUGUCACUUAUAGAUGGAUCCGCGCCGCAUUAGCUAGUUGGUAAGGUAACGGCUUACCAAGGCGACGAUGCGUAGCCGACCUGAGAGGGUGAUCGGCCACACUGGAACUGAGACACGGUCCAGACUCCUACGGGAGGCAGCAGUAGGGAAUCUUCCGCAAUGGGCGAAAGCCUGACGGAGCAACGCCGCGUGAGUGAUGAAGGUCUUCGGAUCGUAAAACUCUGUUAUUAGGGAAGAACAAAUGUGUAAGUAACUAUGCACGUCUUGACGGUACCUAAUCAGAAAGCCACGGCUAACUACGUG
rnacentral:rRNA from 1 species